ensembl:snRNA U6 U6 spliceosomal RNA
GCUCGCUUCAGCAGCACUUACUAAAAUUGGAACAGUAAAGAGAAAAUUAGUAUGGUCCUUGCACAAAGAUGACAUGCAAAUUUGUGAAGCAUUCCAUAUUUUU